AUGAGAGGAAAGGAGGAGCUGACCCCUGCUCUCACCAAGGAGAGCAGCAUCCCAAGUAGAAGGAUAAGUGGCUCUGCCUGGGGCCCCACCCUGCUCUGCUGUGUCACUGUCUCUCUCCUGGCAACAGGUGCAGCAAAUCUCGGGGUCAUCCAGACUCCAAGACACCUAAUCAAAGCACAGGGAGGAAGGUCCAUUCUGAAGUGCAUUCCGAUGUCUGGACAUAACAAUGUGGCCUGGUACCAACAGCCUCUGGGGCAAGGACUGAAGUUCCUCAUUCAGCAUUUUGAAAAAAUGGAGGGAGAGAAAGGAGACAUGCCCAACCGAUUCUCAGUCCAGCAGUUCAGUGACUAUCACUCUGAGAUGAACAUGAGCGCCUUGCAGCUGGAGGACUCUGCUGUGUACUUCUGCACCAGCUCACCACAGCCUCACAGAGAGACUGGCUUUCUGUCCCUUUAUCAUCCUGUCCCAGCUGGUGCUGUAAUAGAGAGGGGUGGGAACAUGCUGCACAGCUCCUGUAGAGGACAAGAAUGCAUCAGUUCUGUAUUAGCCCCUUCUGCCUGCCUGAGCUCCCAGAGAGCCCUAAACACUGGGGUGGACGCCAAGACUCCUGAUGUUUUCACAUGUCUGCCAGUACCUUCCAGGUCCUAG